rnacentral:Y_RNA from 1 species
GGCUGGUCUGAUGGUAGUGGGUUAUCAGAACUUAUUAACAUUAUUGUCACUAAAGUUGGUAUACAACCCCCCACUGACUGCUGUAUUUGGCUAUAAA